GUAAGCUAUAUUUACUAGGAAAAGGUAUUCUUAAGUACAAAAUAAUUUUAAGUUGUAACCUCAUUAUUUUUAAAAUGGCAGAUGAUGAAGAUAAGAAAGAAGUUGAUGAGUCUGACACCAGACCAGAAUUUUUUUGGAACUAUCUUAACAAAACAAUGCGAUUAAAAUUAGAUAAAUGGACCAAGCUGAUAACAACUAAUGAAUACAAGGACCAUCAACUGAACCAAUAUAUC